UACGUAGGGGGCAAGCGUUGUCCGGAAUCAUUGGGCGUAAAGAGCGUGUAGGCGGCCAGAAAAGUCCGCUGUGAAAACUCGAGGCUCAACUUCGAGCUGUCGGUGGAAACUUUCUGGCUAGAGUCCGGAAGAGGAGAAUGGAAUUCCUGGUGUAGCGGUGAAAUGCGCAGAUAUCAGGAAGAACACCCGUGGCGAAGGCGGUUCUCUGGGACGGUACUGACGCUGAGACGCGAAAACGUAGGGAGCGAACAGG
rnacentral:rRNA from 1 species